rnacentral:rRNA from 1 species
AGAGUUUGAUCCUGGCUCAGGACGAACGCUGGCGGCAUGCCUUACACAUGCAAGUCGAACGGCAGCACGGAGCUUGCUCUGGUGGCGAGUGGCGAACGGGUGAGUAAUAUAUCGGAACGUACCCUAGAGUGGGGGAUAACGUAGCGAAAGUUACGCUAAUACCGCAUACGAUCUAUGGAUGAAAGUGGGGGAUUCGCAAGAACCUCAUGCUCGUGGAGCGGCCGAUAUCUGAUUAGCUAGUUGGUAGGGUAAAAGCCUACCAAGGCAUCGAUCAGUAGCUGGUCUGAGAGGACGACCAGCCACACUGGAACUGAGACACGGUCCAGACUCCUACGGGAGGCAGCAGUGGGGAAUUUUGGACAAUGGGCGCAAGCCUGAUCCAGCAAUGCCGCGUGAGUGAAGAAGGCCUUCGGGUUGUAAAGCUCUUUUGUCAGGGAAGAAACGGUGGUUUCUAAUACAAGCCACUAAUGACGGUACCUGAAGAAUAAGCACCGGCUAACUACGUGCCAGCAGCCGCGGUAAUACGUAGGGUGCAAGCGUUAAUCGGAAUUACUGGGCGUAAAGCGUGCGCAGGCGGUUAUGUAAGACAGAUGUGAAAUGCCCGGGCUUAACCUGGGAACUGCAUUUGUGACUGCAUGGCUAGAGUUUGGCAGAGGGGGGUAGAAUUCCACGUGUAGCAGUGAAAUGCGUAGAUAUGUGGAGGAACACCGAUGGCGAAGGCAGCCCCCUGGGUCAAGACUGACGCUCAUGCACGAAAGCGUGGGGAGCAAACAGGAUUAGAUACCCUGGUAGUCCACGCCCUAAACGAUGUCUACUAGUUGUUGGGUCUUAAUUGACUUAGUAACGCAGCUAACGCGUGAAGUAGACCGCCUGGGGAGUACGGUCGCAAGAUUAAAACUCAAAGGAAUUGACGGGGACCCGCAC